AGUGAACGCUGGCGGUAGGCCUAACACAUGCAAGUCGAACGGCAGCACAGUAAGAGCUUGCUCUUACGGGUGGCGAGUGGCGGACGGGUGAGGAAUACAUCGGAAUCUACUUUUUCGUGGGGGAUAACGUAGGGAAACUUACGCUAAUACCGCAUACGACCUACGGGUGAAAGCAGGUGAUCUUCUGACCUUGCGCGAUUGAAUGAGCCGAUGUCGGAUUAGCUAGUUGGUGGUGUAAAGGCACACCAAGGCGACGAUCCGUAGCUGGUCUGAGAGGAUGAUCAGCCCCACUGGAACUGAGACACCGUCCAGACUCCUACGGGAGCCAGCAGUGUGGAAUAUUCGACAAUAGGCGCAAGACUGAUCCAGCCAUACCGCGUGGGUGAAGCAGGCCUUCGGGUUGUAAAGCCCUUUUGUUGGGAAAGAAAAGCAGCAGGUUAAUACCCCGCUGUUCUGACGGUACCCAACGAAUAAGCACCGGCUAACUUCGUG
rnacentral:rRNA from 1 species